UCCGGAAUAGCUCAGUUAGCAGAGCGUUAGACUGAAAAUCUAAAGGUUCCCGGUUCAAUUCUGGGUUCCGGUGAA
rnacentral:tRNA from 1 species